GCUGGAGGCAGUUUACCUGUAACGGCCCACAGCCUUAAAAUAAUUAAAAUAAAGUAUAUGUGGUAGUUCAACUGUAUAAUUUCCUUGUGGGUUCUUUUUUUUCCCUCUAGCAUUGUAUUUUGCCCAAUCCUAUUAUUCCAGUGGGGGAAAAAUUACCUUGGCAAUAAAUACACUGUAUUGUAACCUUCGAUGUAGUAUUUUGUGGUUUCAAAAACAACUUCGAAACUAUUUUUUUCCCUUCAACAAUAGCCAUUAUUCUGCAGUGAUUGACUUUAUGACAGUGUGCCUUGGCAUUCAUUUUGCUUGAGCUCAGACCUCCAAGUAAAUAUUUUAAGGUAGCGUUGUGUGAUUUGCAUUGGUUGAGAUCUGGAACCAUACAAUUUCACAGCUGUGAAUGUGUUUUCUCCUCUCUGCACUGCACAGCUUGCUGGCAUCCUGACUGCCUCAGAGAGGCACCUUCAUCACCUCUGAGAUGGCAUCUGACAUUUCCUCCAGCCAGUUACAUGCAGGAAUAAAAGUAUCAUAUACAGAUAAUUCACUCUUUUACACAAAAUGGUAAGUUUCGGUACUAUAAUAUAGUUAUUCCUAGCAAAAAAAAAUUGGUUGUAAUGGCUGUUUGUGAGUUUUAAAGAAUUGGUGAUUUGUCCCAGGAGCAUUAUCAACCAUGUAUAGGCACCCAGAUAUAAUCUUUGUAUGGUCAACUCUAUGGGUAAAUCCUCCUGUAGAAGAGUAGGCUUAUUACAGAGUAGUUGUCCAGAAGUCUUGAACUAUGUGGUGGAAUUAAGCCAAGUAUGAAAUAUUGGAUACCUAGACCACUAAAAACGAGAGUGAAUUAAAAAUGUAUAGUAGCUUGUAUAUUAACUCCAAACCAAGAUAAAUAAUAAAAAAAUGUGUUGACUUUAUGAUUCA
rnacentral:lncRNA from 12 species